rnacentral:tRNA from 1 species
GUUAGUAUGGCAGAGCUCGGCUAUGCAAGAGACCUAAGUCCUCUCGACCGGGGUUCAAAUCCCCCUAUUAACU